rnacentral:rRNA from 1 species
AUUGAACGCUGGCGGAAUGCUUUACACAUGCAAGUCGAACGGUAGAGGGGGCAACCCCUCGAGAGUGGCGAACGGGUGAGUAAUAUAUCGGAACGUGCCCAGUCGUGGGGGAUAACGUAGCGAAAGUUACGCUGAGACGGCAUACGGGCGGAGGGUGAAGGCGGCGACACGCAACACCUCGCGGCAUUGGAGCGGACGGUAUCAGCUUAGGUAGUUGGUGGGGUAAAGGCUCACCAAGCCAACGAUCUGUAGCUGGUCUGAGAGGACGACCAGCCACACUGGAACUGAGACACGGUCCAGACUCCUACGGGAGGCAGCAGUGGGGAAUUUUGGACAAUGGACGCAAGUCUGAUCCAGCCAUUCCGCGUGCAGGAUGAAGGCCCUCGGGUUGUAAACUGCUUUUGUACGGAACGAAAAGGUCUCUCUUAAUACGGGGGGCUCAUGAUGGUACCGUAAGAAUAAGCACCGGCUAACUACGUGCCAGCAGCCGCGGUAA